AUGCUUUACACAUGCAAGUCGAACGGCAGCACGGGAGCUUGCUCCUGGUGGCGAGUGGCGGACGGGUGAGUAAUAUAUCGGAACGUAUCUAUUAAUGGGGGAUAACUAGCCGAAAGGUUAGCUAAUACCGCAUACGCCCUGAGGGGGAAAGCUGGGGAUCUUCGGACCUGGCGUUAAUAGGGCGGCCGAUACCUGAUUAGCUAGUUGGUGGGGUAAAGGCCUACCAAGGCGACGAUCAGUAGCUGGUCUGAGAGGACGACCAGCCACACUGGGACUGAGACACGGCCCAGACUCCUACGGGAGGCAGCAGUGGGGAAUUUUGGACAAUGGGGGCAACCCUGAUCCAGCCAUUCCGCGUGAGUGAAGAAGGCCUUCGGGUUGUAAAGCUCUUUCGCAAGGGAAGAAACGAUAUAAGUGAAUAGCUUAUGUUAAUGACGGUAC
rnacentral:rRNA from 1 species